UCAGUGUGUCAAAGUCAGAGAGCCGUGUCUCUCUACAGUCAGAGGUUUUUGUACGGCGGCUCAAUGAGUUUGUAUCACUGUGGUUGACUUUUGGUGGAGGAACCAGACUGGAUGUUGGAAGUGAUGUCCGUCCCACCCUGACGGUGCUGCCCCCCUCCAGUGAGGAGCUGCAGCAGGGGAAGGCCACGCUCAUGUGUCUGGCCAACAAGGGCUUCCCCUCAGACUGGAGUCUGUCCUGGAAGGUGGACGGCAGCAGCAGCAGCAGCAGCAGCAGCAGCUGGGAGCAGAGCAGGAGCCCCGGGGUGCUGGAGAAGGACGGCCGCUACAGCUGGAGCAGCACCCUGAGGCUCCCUGCAGACCAGUGGAGGAAGGUGGGCUCUGUGACCUGUGAGGCCACCCAGGGCUCCCAGACUCCAGUCUCAGAGACACUGAGGAGAGACCAGUGUUCCCAGUCCUGACCUGACUCACUGGGACUCUGCUGCUGGUUUUACUCUCAUACUGCUCUCAGCUCUCUCUCUGUUCUCUCUUUCUCUCAACAUGUUUCAACAUUAAUGUGUUCUUGCUUCUGUUUCAACAUUUUACAACAAUAAAGAUUUCAUUACCUUUAUUAUAA